rnacentral:rRNA from 1 species
GCCUACGGGAGGCAGCAGUGAGGAAUAUUGGUCAAUGGACGAGAGUCUGAACCAGCCAAAUCGCGUGAAGGAAGACUGCCCUACGGGUUGUAAACUUCUUUUGUACAGGAAUAAAAGACAUUACGUGUAAUGUAUUGCAUGUACUGUACGAAUAAGCAUCGGCUAACUCCGUGCCAGCAGCCGCGGUAAUACGGAGGAUGCGAGCGUUAUCCGGAUUUAUUGGGUUUAAAGGGUGCGCAGGCGGGAUUUUAAGUCAGCGGUGAAAUUUUCAGGCUCAACCUGAACACUGCCGUUGAAACUGGGAUUCUUGAGUAUGGAUGAAGUAGGCGGAAUUCGUUGUGUAGCGGUGACAUGCUUAGAUAUAACGAGGAACUCCGAUUGCGUAGGCAGCUUACUAAGCCAUAACUGACGCUCAAGCACGAAAGCGUGGGGAUCAAACAGGAUUAGAUACCCUGGUAGUCGG